UGGUGGAGUGAUUUGUCUGGUUAAUUCCGAUAACGAACGAGACCUUAACCUGCUAAAUAGUCGGGCCGGCUCCGGCCGGUCGCAGGCUUCUUAGAGGGACUAACAGUGUUUAGCUGUUGGAAGUUUGAGGCAAUAACA
rnacentral:rRNA from 1 species